UCCAGUUUAUCACUGGCAGUCUCGCUAGAGUCCUCAACUUAAUGUUAGCAACUAACGACGAGGGUUGCGCUCGUUGCGGGACUUAACCCAACAUCUCACGACACGAGCUGACGACAACCAUGCACCACCUGUCUCCUCUGUCCCCGAAGGGAAUGGCAUAUCUCUAUACCCGUCAGAGGGAUGUCAAGGCCUGGUAAGGUUCUUCGCGUUGCGUCGAAUUAAACCACAUGCUCCACCGCUUGUGCGGGUCCCCGUCAAUUCCUUUGAGUUUCAGUCUUGCGACCGUACUUCCCAGGCGGAGUACUUAAUGCGUUAACUUCAGCACCGACUUUUGCCGACACUUAGUACUCAUCGUUUACGGCGUGGACUAC
rnacentral:misc_RNA from 1 species